CCUCCAUCCAAGUGAGGUAUGCCUCUCUUCAUCAAACACAUGGCUUACGACCCAGGUUCAUCUAAAUGACUGCACUUUUGGUUUCCUUUAACAAACAUUUGCCUUCUCAAAUAUGACCUAGAUUAGCUAGGAUUACUCUUGAUUACUUCCCCUUUACACUACAUCACUUCUUGGAUUUGAUCUGGACUUAAAAUAAGGUUUCUGAUUAAUAGACCUUCC